GUGCUUGCUUUGGCAGCACAUAUACUAAAGUUAGAAAGAUACAGAGAUUAGCAUGGCGCCUGCGCAAGGAUGACACGCAAAUUCGUGAAGCAUUCCAUAUUUUU
rnacentral:snRNA from 1 species